rnacentral:lncRNA from 1 species
UAAGGAACAGUAAUGUUUCGACAUCUUGGCACUUACGUGGGUUUGUUAAAGAUGCUAUCUGUAACCUCAGCACGUGGGACGGAGAGGAUUGUGAACUAGAGGCCAGUGUGUGUGAAACAGCGAGAACCUGUCUCAAUUUUCCCUGACUCAAAAGAAAAAAAUCCUAAACUUCUUUGAGAGCUGAUUUUACCAUCUACUUUUUCAGUUCUGUAUACACUGUAGUGGCCAUUUACUGAGUGUCUGUACACCAAGCUCAGUGGGAGUGCUGCAGUCAUAGAAAUUAUGCCUGUUUUCCUUUGUCUUGUUAAAGUUUAAAGUGAAGAUUGCAUGGUUUGCACUUAAAUCAUUCUUCCUGAUUGCCUGCAUUCCCUUUCAUGAAGAAACCUUUAUCCAAGAGCUGUUUCUAGGAAGCUUAGUCAUCACUUAAUACACAGAGUCAGAACCUCAAAAAGGUUUGGUUAGUAAAAUACUUGUCACAGUAUACCCCUCACACACACCCCAUUUUCUCUAUAAGUAUUCUCCCAAGCUCAAGUCCCUUAGGUCUUCUGGUGUGGCUCUCUACUAACCGGAGGCCCCUAGUAACAGCUCCUUUGUCAGAGACACAAGAGCAGCAGUUCUCUAUCUCUUCCCAGCUCGCAGACGUGCCCAGCCCUCCUGUGUGUGCUUCACAGCAGCACGACCUAUGGGAAAGAGAGCACUUGGGAGAGUAAAACUAAACAGGCUUUCCAUAAUCCAAUCAUCAGAGUACACA